rnacentral:lncRNA from 1 species
CAGCAUUUCCUCAUUCAGGAUGACAUUGGCUGUGGGUUUUCCAUAAAUGGCUUUUACUAUUUUGAGGUAUCUUCCUUUGAUGCUUAGUUUACUGAGGGUUUUUAUCAUGAAGGGAUGUUGAAUUUUAACAAAAGGUUGCUCAGCAUCUAUCAAGGCUAUCAUAAGGUUUUUGUUUUUAAUUCUGUUUAUGUCAUGAACACAUUUAUUUAUUUGCAUAUGUUGAAUCAACCUUGCAUUCUAGAAUAAAGUCUUCUUGAUCCUGAUGAAUUAACUUUUGUUGUGUAGGGAUUUUUGCAUCCAUGUUCAUCAGGGAUGUUGGCCUAUAGUUUUCUUUUUCUAUUGUGUCUUUUCCAGGUUCUGGUAUGAAGAUGGCUUCAUAGCAUCAUCCCUCCUCCUGAUGGCUGGAUUCCCUCCUCCAUUUUUUUUUUUUUUGGAAUAGUUUAAGUAGAAUUGAUACCAGCUUUUCUGUUAAAAUUUGGUUGUGAAUCCAUCUGGUCCAGCAAGGGUCUGCUGCUUCACUCCUGAAGUCAGCUAGACCAUGAACCCACCAGGAGGAACAAACUCUGGACACACCAUCUUUAAGAACUGUAACACUCACUGGGAGGAGCCACAGCUUCAUUCUUGAAGUCAGCAAGACCAAGAACCUACCGGAAGUAACCAAUUCCAGAUACAAUGUCAUACUACAUUUCAACAAACAUUGUGCUACAAUACAAUGCAUUUAAAAUAUUUGGACUUUUUCAAACUUUCAACUUUUAGAAGACUAACAUUUUCUUUAAAAUAUAUGUUGCUUUUCUCUGUUAUUUAUGGGUUAUUUAGCCAACAAUUUGUGAUUGAAGCUGUGUGUCCAAGCAAUUGGAGCUUCUGAAUUUAAUAAAAACAAAUCUUCACCAUUUGGUUUCCAUUAUUUAGC